UUAACUCAAAUUUGUAUGGAGUUGGAACGUUUGUCUACGUUUGCCGCUAGGGGCGCUGUUCCAACUGCAUACAAAUUUAAGUUA
rnacentral:pre_miRNA from 1 species